GGAGAAGGCUUUGCCUUGGCCCCCAGAAGAGCAGAUGCUCCAGUCAAUUCUGGAGUAGGAAGAAAAGAUUUGGAAUACUUUAUGACUCCCUGUGAUAUGGUUUAGAUGUUUUGUCUCCUCCAAAUCUCAUGUUGAAAUGUGACCUCCAGUGCUGGAAGUGGGCCUAGAGGGAGUUGUUUGGGUCAUGGGGGCAGAUUCCUUAUGAAUAUCUUGGUGCUGUCCUAGUGGUAAUGAUUGAGUUCUCAUUCUACGAGUUCACAUAAGAUCUUGUUGUUUAAAAGAGCCUGGCACCUCCUUUCUUUCUCUCUUGCUCACUCUCACAAUGUGACACACUGGAUCCCCUUGACUUUCCACCAUCAUUGUAAGGCUUCUGAGGCCCUCCUAGAAGCAGAUACCUGCACCAUGCUUCAUGUACAGCCUGCAGAACUGUGAGACAAAUAAACUUGUUUUCUUCUAAA
rnacentral:lncRNA from 10 species